rnacentral:rRNA from 1 species
UACGAAGGGGGCUAGCGUUGUUCGGAAUGACUGGGCGUAAAGGGCGCGUAGGCGGUUUGAUAAGUUUGGUGUGAAAGUCCUGGGCUUAACCUGGGGAUUGCACUGGAUACUGUUGGACUAGAGGUCGAGAGGGGAGAAUGGAAUUGCGAGUGUAGAGGUGAAAUUCGUAGAUAUUCGCAAGAACACCGGUGGCGAAGGCGGUUUUCUGGCUCGAAUCUGACGCUAAGGCGCGAAAGCGUGGGGAGCAAACAGG